rnacentral:pre_miRNA from 1 species
UUAACUCAAAUUUACAUGCAGUUGGAACAGCGCCCCUAGCGGCAAACGCAGGCAAACGUUCCAACUCCAUACAAAUUAGAGUUA